GUCACCACAUCUUUUCUGUCACUAAUCCUUUGUUUUUCGGUAGUUCCGUCAUUCAUCCUUUCAAAACUUGCUCCGACUUCGAAUUUCUUACAUAUAUCAAUGGGAAAUAGUGAAGCAAAACAGCAAGAACGUCGCAUGCAUUACGAAUUUCCGGCCUCUCAUCCUCCAAACACUUCACUUCCGAGCCAUGAUCAUACUCGCUAUACGAAUAGUAGCCAGGUCAAACUAACUAAUGCGUCUGGAGCUGAAGCUGGGCAGAUUGGAACGGCACAAGUGCACAAGGAAGAGAUGAAUUUGGAAGACAAUGAUGCAUUUUCUGACUACAUUAACCGCACGAAAUUUAAGAUCAGAGCUACGACCUCCAAUAUUGAUCCCGAGAAUGUUGCAUCCACAGCAGAUGGUGUUUAUGAAACAGAGCAAGAAGAUAAUGAGUAUGAAAUGUUUACGGAUUUUGUCAACCACUCUAAGUUUAAGAUUAGAAAGACAUCCAGCAUCGGAAGUAGAAACAACAUCUCCUUUAAGAAGUAGGAGACUGAAAUUCUGCAACCAUAUGUGUUCUGGUGAUUGCCGGCAUAUUUAUGGAUUGUGUUCUCCCUCUUUAAUUCUUUUAUCAUAUUUACGUCCUGGAUACACAGGUUAUGUAAUGUUGUUGAAUAGUCCUCUAUGUAUUUCUCAGUCAAUGAUAUCGAAUCAUUCUUUUUCAUGUGUUUCUAGAGCCCAUUUGCUAAAAGUGUGACUUAUAUGCAUUGCAGCAAGCUUCCUUGACAAUUGGAAUCUGUUUCUUUACCUCUUCGAAAGGCGAUAGUUUAAAAGGCGAGACUCCUUUGCAUAGCUAGCUAAGCAAAGAUAGAUGUUUGGAAAAAGCUCAACCAUGAAGUGCUUCUGCAUCUCAAUUUUUGUACGCGCUAAUUGGACCGAGAUAAAACAAAACAAAUCCAACCUAUGUUACAUAUGCAGGGUUUAUUCAAUUCAGGCAAUAAAACAUCUAAAUAAUAUUCUAGUUGGUACGCACUUGCUGGAUCCCACUUUUAUGAAAAAAUUAUGGGCUAAGAAGCUGGGAAUAUGAUUCCCAUACAUCACUUCAAUUGAAGAAAUUUCUCCCUUAUGAGCAAUUUUUUGCUAUUCAGCCAUAGUGGGUUUCCCUUCAUUUCUGUGUGUAUCUUUCAGUUUUCGACCAAGGAUCGCAAGGACAUGCUCUCGAGAUUUCUCUUUACCUCAUCUCUUAAACUUAGUACAAGCUUGCUAUCAAUUUAAUUUCUAACAUAAUAAUGGGAAAGAGUUAUAGCAUAGCAGAUGCUGGAGCACCGCAGCAUUUGUUGGUUGGUUGGAUAGUACAGAGACCUUGACAAUGCUUUGUGGUUGGUUUGCAGAUUUUCAUGGCAGAUGCUGGAGCACCGCAGCCGACACCGUGAAUUGGUCAAUGACAGACUAGUUUCUUUAGGGCAGUUGUAUCGUUAUACUGUGGGUUCACUUUUGAAACUUUGACUUUGAACUAGUAAAUGUCAGAUUUUCGGUAGGCUGGUUAACCGUAGGGUUUCUGAAUUCGUGUUGUUCUUAAUUAAUGGAUAUGCUCUUAUUAGUAGCUUGGCACAUUGUGUUCAUGUUGAUGCAUUCAGGAGGAGCCGUUACAGCACAUAGCAACUAGCAUGGAAGAAAAAGUACAAAAAUGAAUGCGACUGGAAAAUGACAAUAAAAUAUGUUUUAUGUUGAAAUACGAUGACUUUUAGCAAUUUUUGUUAAAAUGCGAAUUUUUACCACUUAUUGAGUCUAUAUAGCAUUUUUUUUAAUACAAAAUUUUAAAGUUGAAGGAUAAAAGAAUCGAUACGAAAAUUCUAGCAAGUCAUAAAACAUCUUUGCAAAAUGUGGAGAAUGAUUACCUUUCUACACAGCAUAUAGUGAGUGAGGAACGUACAAGAGAAAUGCAAGAGGAGAAGGUAGCUCACAUUCCUCGUAAUGUCUUGAAUGAAUUUUAAAAAGUUUAGUGACACAAAAAUACCACAAAAAUUACAAAAUAAGUUUAGUUUUCCUAAUUAAAUCACAAUAUGGUGUAUGCAGAACUUCGCUAAACUGAUUAAAAACACUCACUGAUUUUGAGAAAAAUUUAAUAAACCAUGAGAUUAAUGAAAUAACCUAGAAGUUUUUUUUUAUCGAAUAGACUUUCUAUCAUCUUGAACUUCUCCACAAAAAGACUGCUGUCGUAGAAUUUCGCAAAAUUGAUUAAAAACGGGAAUUAUUUUUUACAGAUUUUUUGUGCAAAUAUUUCUUACAAAUUUUGUGAAAGGUACAGAAGGACAUUAUAGUUUUGGCAGCUUUUCAAGGAAAUGUUUUUAGUAAAAUCAAGUUGGAUUGCUUAUUUUCCUUGUGUUAUUUGGUAGAUGAAUGCAUUAAAUAGGUUGGUUGUUUCCCACCAGAAAUCCAUGAUGCUUGUUUUAGACUUUGAACUAUAAAAACAAUGGAUUAAAGGGAAAUUUUAUUUGAACCAUGUAACCUCUUUUUACACCCAACUUAAAUUUAAAUUAUUAAUUGUCUAUUUUACCCUUUUGCAUAAUUACUAUUAAGUACAAAAUGAAAUUAAUAAUAAAACUCAAAUUUAUCAAUAAACCCAUUAAACCCUUCCAUCAGUUCUUGUUUAUCAUACGUUCAUUCUAGCUAAAACCCUAAUAGGUCUUGUAGAGAAAAACAAGUUUUUUUUUAUUGAUGGAUGGUGAUUUUGUAGUUUUGAAUCCUCCAACUAAGGUAUGACUCAAUUUAUGAAUAUUUUGUUUGUUUGAUUUCAAUUUUUUUAAAGUUUAGAAGAUGAGUAUUUGGGUUUCAAUUUUUUCAUCAAUCCCGAAUGGUUUGUUAAACUUUUUGCAAUUGGAAAAUUCUAAGAAAAACUUCUUACUAAUGUUCUUAGAUUAUAAACUUCCUUACUUGUUGAUAAAUAGAAGGGGAUGAAUUGUUUGAUUUGUUGCUUAUGCACAUUAGUAGAAAGAAAAAAGGCAAAUAUCUGGCUUUGGUAGCAGAAAGAAAAAAAAAAAGUAGUCAUGGAAAUGCUAGUGGGAAGAGGGGGUGGGGCAAGGACACCUUUUUAAAAA
rnacentral:lncRNA from 1 species